CCUACGGGAGGCUGCAGUGGGGAAUAUUGGACAAUGGGCGAAAGCCUGAUCCAGCCAUGCCGCGUGUGUGAAGAAGGCCUUCGGGUUGUAAAGCACUUUCAGUGGGGAAGAAAGCCUUGGGGCUAAUACCCUCGAGGAAGGACAUCACCCACAGAAGAAGCACCGGCUAACUCCGUGCCAGCAGCCGCGGUAAUAUGGAGGGUGCGAGCGUUAAUCGGAAUUACUGGGCGUAAAGCGCGCGUAGGCGGUCUGAUAAGCCGGUUGUGAAAGCCCCGGGCUCAACCUGGGAACGGCAUCCGGAACUGUCAGGCUAGAGUGCAGUAGAGGAAGGUAGAAUUCCCGGUGUAGCGGUGAAAUGCGUAGAGAUCGGGAGGAAUACCAGUGGCGAAGGCGGCCUUCUGGACUGACACUGACGCUGAGGUGCGAAAGCGUGGGUAGCAAACAGGAUUAGAUACCCCGGUAGUC
rnacentral:rRNA from 1 species